GUCACGAACCCCCGGAUGACAUCCGGGGGCUUGCAGCCAGAACGCUCGUCGUUCGCGUUGCAAGCUCCAUAGUGUCCAGCCUUAGCGUCCAAUGGCGCAGGCCGCCAAAUACGGACGCUCCGUUCGACGGGUCAUGGCACCCAGGGACGCCUCCUCAAUCCCUGGCCCUGCC
rnacentral:sRNA from 32 species